ACCAUACAGUUAUGCACUGCCAAUAAGUGAAAAGGUCAAGAAAAGCAGUAGCUCAGUGGCUGAAUUUUUCUGAAGUGCUUUACAGCAGGGAAAGUGGGGAAACCUCUUAAAGUGGCGUCUUAUUCAGCAGAGUAUAAUUUUACCUCAUCCAAGAAGUGAGAUGAAAGGUGAUUUGAGCUUUGCCUUCUUCUCUAUCCUCAUUUGAGCUUGUGACAGAGGGCCUUCAUCUUUCCUGACCUGGUUCAGAAGUGGAGGGAUUCUGACAGUGAGGAACCACUACUGCAGGUUGUUUUUGUGGCCAGGGCAGCAUUUGCAUUUUGCA
rnacentral:lncRNA from 1 species